rnacentral:rRNA from 1 species
GACGAGCGCUGGCGGCGUGCUUAACACAUGCAAGUCGAACGGUGAAGGGGAGCUUGCUCCCCGGAUCAGUGGCGAACGGGUGAGUAACACGUGGGCAACCUGCCCCAGACUUCGGGAUAACGCUUCGAAAGAGGUGCUAAUACCGGAUACGAACUCCUUGGGCAUCCUUGGGGUUGGAAAGUUUUUCGGUCUGGGAUGGGCCCGCGGCCUAUCAGCUUGUUGGUGAGGUAACGGCUCACCAAGGCGACGACGGGUAGCCGGCCUGAGAGGGCGACCGGCCACACUGGGACUGGGACACGGCCCAGACUCCUACGGGAGGCAGCAGUGGGGAAUAUUGCGCAAUGGGCGAAAGCCUGACGCAGCAACGCCGCGUGAGGGAUGACGGCCUUCGGGUUGUAAACCUCUUUCAGCAGGGAAGAAGCGAAAGUGACGGUACCUGCAGAAGAAGCACCGGCUAACUACGUGCCAGCCGCCGCGGUAAAAC